UUGAACGCUGGCGGCAGGCCUAACACAUGCAAGUCGAGCGCGAAAGGUUUUCGGACUGAGUAAAGCGGCGGACGGGUGAGUAACGCGUGGGAAUCUGCCCAGUAGUGGGGGACAACAGUCGGAAACGACUGCUAAUACCGCAUACGCCCUACGGGGGAAAGGGGGGGACCUUCGGACCUCCCGCUAUUGGAUGAGCUCGCGUCGGAUUAGCUAGUUGGUAGGGUAAAGGCCUACCAAGGCUACGGUCCGUAACUGGUCUGAGAGGAUGAUCAGUCACACUGGAACUGAGACACGGUCCAGACUCCUACGGGAGGCAGCAGUGGGGAAUAUUGGACAAUGGGGGCAACCCUGAUCCAGCCAUGCCGUGUGUGUGAAGAAGGCCUUAGGGUUGUAAAGCACUUUCAGUGGGGAGAAAGGUUUGUCACCUAAUACGUGAUGAAAUUGAUGUUACCCACAGAAGAAGCACCGGCUAACUCCGUGCCAGCCGCCGCCGUAA
rnacentral:rRNA from 1 species